rnacentral:tRNA from 1 species
GUCUCUGUAGCUUAACUCGGAAAAAGCGCCCCUCCUACGAAGGGGCAGAUACGGAUUCAAAUCCUGUCAGAGACGCCA